CAAGGGUUCGGGAUAACCCCGGGAAACUGGGGAUAAUACCGGAUGGAUCACUAGUGCUGGAAUGCUUGGUGGUUUAAAGGUAACGCCUUUGGAUGGGUCUGCGGCGGAUUAGGUUGACGCCGGUGUAACGUACCGGCGUGCCUGUAAUCCGUACGGGUUGUGGGAGCAAGAGCCCGGAGAUGGAUUCUGAGACACGAAUCCAGGCCCUACGGGGCGCAGCAGGCGCGAAAACUCUACAAUGCAGGCAACUGCGAUAGGGGGACAUCGAGUGGCAUCCACCUUGGGUGCCUGUCCAACCGUCUAAAAAACGGUUGUUAGCAAGGGCCGGGUAAGACCGGUGCCAGCCGCCGCGGUAAUACCGGCGGCUCGAGUGGUGGCCGAUAUUAUUGAGUCUAAAGGGUCCGUAGCCGGCUUUGCAAGUCCCCUGGGAAAUCCAGCGGCUUAACCGUUGGGCUUUCAUGGGAUACUACAUUGCUUGGGACUGGGAGAGGUAGGAGGUACUCGGGGGGUAGGGGUGAAAUCCUGUAAUCCUCCGGGGACCACCGGUGGCGAAGGCGUCCUACCAGAACAGGUCCGACGGUGAGGGACGAAAGCUAGGGGCACGAACCGGAUUAGAUACCCGGGUAGUCCUAGCCGUAAACGAUGCCCGCUAGGUGUCACGACGGUCGUGAAUCGUCGUGGUGCCGUAGGGAAGCCGCGAAGCGGGCCACUUG
rnacentral:rRNA from 1 species